rnacentral:rRNA from 2 species
GUUAUAGGGUCAAGCGAACAAGUGCAUGUGGUGGAUGCCUUGGCGAUCACAGGCGAUGAAGGACGCGGUAGCCUGCGAAAAGCUACGGGGAGCUGGCAAACAAGCUUUGAUCCGUAGAUGUCCGAA